rnacentral:rRNA from 1 species
GACACCCACGAUGGUGUGGAGGAACACUCCGGUGUGAAUCCUAUCUCAUCUUCGGCCGAAGGGGGAACCUCGGUCUCUCGUGAGGAGUUCAAUGUGGCUUUGGACACAUUGAAAACCUCCAUGACGGCCGAGGUUAAAAGCAUGUUUAAUGAUUUCUUAGAGGGACUUAAACUAUCUACCGCACCUAUGAAAGUGGGUGAUCCCACUAACAAGGUGACGGAUGCUUUCUCCGAUAAGGGGGAAGCUAACAAUGAAAAGAGUCCUUCUACUAGUGGUAGAAAUGGCACCGGCAUCUUUGCCCAUGUGGAACCCCCGGUCUAUGGAGGGCCUAUCCCGUCCACUCAUUUGAAUCAUGCUGGUCCACCUCCUAAGUAUGAAAAAGGUGUAGAUUUUGAUAAUUGGGUCUAUCGCUUUAAGCGUCAUUUGAAACAUGUGAACACUAACCUUUGGAGAGUCAUUGAAGAAGGUUUUUAUCCUCAUGACCCAAGCAACUUCACCCCUCGAGAAGCCGUGGACAAUCAAUUCAAUGAGAGUGCUCUCUUCAUCAUUCAAGAUGCAAUUCUUCCCGAAGAUCUCCCUCACCUUCGACCCCACGUCGUGGCUAAAGAAGCAUGGAAAUGUGUUGAGGGCCUCUAUCGUGGAAGUGCUAGCAUUCAACGGUCCAACUAUGAAGUGGUGCAAGAUGAAGCCGACGAGUUUGCAAUGAAAGAAGAUGAAGAACCUCGUGAGCUCUUUCGAAGAGUAACCAAACUCGCGGUGGCACUUCGAGAUCAUGGAAGCAAGGAUACGGAUGACAAUUGGAUCAAGCGAAAGUUCCUCAAGGCCAUGAUGCCCUACAACAAAGCCAUGUCCUCCGUCAUUCGUCAACGACCGGACUUUCACACCAUGACCUCAAGUGAAGUGUUGGAUGAGUUCGUUGCAAUGAACAUCUUGGACAAGACCGCCGAAAAUGCGGUGCUCCGUUCUCAAAGAGCUAAGAAGCCUAACCUUGCCUUGAAGGCCAAGGUCAUUGUCGAAGAAGAGGAAGAAGUGGAAGAUGAGGAAAGCAACCCCGAAUACACCAAGUUCGACUACCAUGAACACAUGGCCCUUGCUUCAAGACAAUUUUGGAGCAAGAAGAGCUCAAGACCCAACUUCAACAAGAAUAACUCAAGUGGCGUCAAGGGCAAGCAACGAGUUAGAACUUGCUUCAACUGUGGCAAUGUGAGCCAUUUCGUUGCGGAUUGUCCUUACGAGAAGAGGGAAGAGAAUGGUGGCAAGUUCAUUCGAAAAGACAAAGCCAAGUCCAUCCCCAACAAGAACAACUUCACCAAGAAGACUCCCACUCGUGGGUUGUUGGUUCAAGAAGAAUACCAAGAGGAUGAUGAUGAUGAUGAGAAUGAAGAAGCAACGGCCAUGGCAUCCAUUGCCAUUGCUACUCCUCGGGUGUCUCUCUUCGAAUCACCCAACGAAAACAUCACCGCUAGAUGCCUCAUGGCGAAGGCUUCAAACAAGGUAACCCCCAACAUCACAACCACCAUCAUUUCUAAUCCCUCCAUGGAGGAUUGCAUUGAUGGACAUGUUGAGUCUAAUGAGGAAGUGAAUGAAUUAGAGUCCUUCAUGAGUAAGCUAAAGGGAAAGUCCAAGAAGCACUUUGUUGCUCUCUUGGAACAACUUGGUGAGGCCAAUGACAUGAUCGAGGCUCACGAAGAAACCAUCUCCAAGAUGGAAGGUCAUAGUCGUGACUAUGCCGAUGAGAUAUCG